rnacentral:rRNA from 1 species
UACGUAGGGCGCAAGCGUUGUCCGGAAUUAUUGGGCGUAAAGAGCUCGUAGGCGGCUUGUCACGUCGGAUGUGAAAGCCCGGGGCUUAACCCCGGGUCUGCAUUCGAUACGGGCAGGCUAGAGUGUGGUAGGGGAGAUCGGAAUUUCUGGUGUAGCGGUGAAAUGCGCAGAUAUCAGGAGGAACACCGGUGGCGAAGGCGGAUCUCUGGGCCAUUACUGACGCUGAGGAGCGAAAGCGUGGGGAGCGAACAGG